GGUUAUGGCUCAAUGGUAGAGUGCUCGCCUAGCAUGCAAGAAACACUGGGUUCAAUCCUCAGCACCA
rnacentral:tRNA from 1 species